rnacentral:rRNA from 1 species
UACGGAGGGAGCUAGCGUUGUUCGGAAUUACUGGGCGUAAAGCGCACGUAGGCGGUUUUGUAAGUUAGAGGUGAAAGCCCGGGGCUCAACUCCGGAACUGCCUUUAAGACUGCAUCGCUUGAAUCCAGGAGAGGUGAGUGGAAUUCCGAGUGUAGAGGUGAAAUUCGUAGAUAUUCGGAAGAACACCAGUGGCGAAGGCGGCUCACUGGACUGGUAUUGACGCUGAGGUGCGAAAGCGUGGGGAGCAAACAGG